GCACUAGUAGCUCAGCAAGAACUCAGAGCGCCGGCUUUGUAAUCCGGAGGACGGAAGUUAACUACCUCCCUGCUGCU
rnacentral:tRNA from 1 species